rnacentral:lncRNA from 1 species
UUAGUGUAUCAUAAAAGCUUUUUAUUUGUUUCCUUUUACAAAUAAAAUUUUAUGAAAAAUACUUUCUGUUAACUUAGUUGUUUUAUUUUUUAUUUUCUGUUAACUUAUUAGUUUAGUGUUUUAUUUUUUGUUAAGUUUUACUUAGGACAACUAUUUUGUGUUAUGUAUUAGAGUUUUCUUUAAUAGUUUCGUGGUGUAGUUUUCCUUUGUUUUUAUUUGGUGUCCCUUCUUGAUUUGCAUUUUAUUUGUUGGUUUUAUUAUGAGUGUUAGAAUUGCUUGCUAGUAUGUUUGCUUAUAUGAAUGCUAUGUUUGACUAUAUAGAUUUUCAACGGAGUGACGAAUAGUUCUACCAAGUCAUUAUUCUGAGAGAGUUAUUAUCUUCAUCAUGUAUUACCAGGCAAGUUCACUUUGACCAUGUUUCUCAUACCUAUGUUUUAUUUGCAUGUAGUGGCACCCUUUCAACAAUCCCUCCAGUAGUGUUAUUGAAUCUUGUAGUUGUGUAGAAUGCAUGAGCUAGGAACCCAUCUCCCUGAUUACCAAGCCCGGGACGUUAUAUAGUUUUAAUGCUACGCUAUAGUAGACGGGGUUUGGUAUGAGUGCACGAGAGUGGUGUGAAGAAGGAGGACUUUACGUCAAUGGCGACAACUUCAUGAUGGCAUCAGCAAGGACUGCAUCUUCAGGACUCCAAGACCUCAAGAUUUCGAGACUCGAGACAAGAAUUCAAUACACAAUACUGGGUGAAGGACAGUUGACGGGCACCCUGGAGAAACCAGUGGAUGGCCGGGAUGCAUGGAGAAGCGACAUGACAUCUUGCGGAAAGCUUCACCCAGACUCAAAGAGACGGAAGAAUACUUCAUGCCCGGAAGCUUACCUGUGCAACCGCAAGUCACUAUGGGCUCUGGCUUGGUUGACCUUAAUGGUGACUCUGGCUGGGACGGUGCUAGCAGAUGUAGAACUAUGGUAGGGUUGGAUGAGCACCGGACAGUGGUCAGGGGAACUCUUCGGAAGACCAUGUUUCGAUCAUCCUGUUCUCAAACACCAUGAAGUAUGAGGACGAAAAGGGAGGGAUCGAAUCUUGCGGGUAAAGUGUACAAACCUCUGUAGAGGGUUAAAACCUAAUCGAUUAGCCGUGUCCCCGGUUACGGACAAUUUGAGCCUCUGGACUUGGAUAUAUCUCGGAACUCUCAACACCGGACUGAUAACAUAAUUGUGGGCAAGUUAUGAUGAUUUUGGGCUAUGAGACAUCGGUUGGCGGAACCAUGUCAUGAUAGAAAACUCCGUAGUACAGACUCCUGAUGUUCCUUUGUUAUAGGAAAAUAAAACCAGAUUUUAUGCAAACAAAACUCAGAUACAGAGCCACAAAGCCAUAUUGCAUAUAGUAUAGUUUAUCAUCUGUUUUUAUUACAGUGAUCUUGCCGGUACAUUCAAUCUACUGACCUACAUGGCUGCAACGUAUCAUGUUGCAGGAUUAUUUCUACGACGAGUGAGUUUCAUUGAUUGGAUUACGGUCUACACUCAACCUGCCGAUGGCGUUGAUGGGACUCCACACCCGAUUGUUUGUUUCCGCUGAGACUUAUGAGGUAUAUAUCAGUUUUACGUUAUUUAUACAUGUGAUUGCACUUUGAUAUAUACAUUGAUGUACUGUGUGUGCCAGCAUACUGAUCCAGGGAUGGCACAGAUACACAGAGACUUGACCGUCUAAGUUCGGGUCGCUACAGAUAUGGUAUCAGAGCACAUGUUGACUGUAGGACGUGACCCUAGAAAUCGGAAAGCCCUAGGACAGGAAAUCUCUAAGACUUUAUUUUUAAAAGGACCCAUUUCUUCUCAUCUUUUCUAAUUUUUAUCAAAUAACACCUCUUACCUGAAAUAGUUAGAAUAUACCCCUUUCCCUUUUGACCACCCGGAGGAUCAACUGAAGCCGCUUCAAGAAGGAUAAGAACACCGGACAAAUGAUGACCAAUUCAGAGUAAAGAGGAUUACACUAUAUAUUCCGGAGGAAAGAAGCUACAGCAGAUGAAGACUCUAAAGGCUUGAAGAAUUCAGAGACUCGGAAGAUUGAUUUGACCUUUAGAAGACCAAACCCCUGUUAUAUAUACUUACGUUAUAUACGACGAUUUGUGAACUGUCAUUUGUAUGAUGUUUUUCUGACCGCUGCAAAUAAAACCUAUUUUCAAAACUAUUUUAUGUAUCAUGUGUAUAUCUCUCUAUUCUUCUCUCUUAUCUCACCCUAAAACCCUUGGACCCAAUAGAUGAUGAAUGGAGAAGGACUGGUAUUCUCUGGACCGAUGACUCAGCCGAAGGCAGAGCUAUGGAUUAAAAACAUGGAGGAUCACUUCGGGGACAAAUGAUUUCAUGGAAGUAUGAGGUUCAAGAUGCUAUUCAGUAUUUUACCAAGAGUGCUGCAACCUGGUGGAAAAUGCAUCAAGCCAUACAAGGAUGCAACGGAGCAAAAACUUGGGACGAAUUCAAGAAGACUCUAUUGAGAUCUCGUCUUAUUCGGAAGAACUAUGAUAACCCGAAGAAGAAACCUUGUGCUUGCAAGAUUUGCGGAGAAAUAGGACACACCGAGGAGGAACACAAGGAUGGAUGCCCUCAUUGUGAGGAGAAUCACCCAACCGAAGAGUGCCCAACUAGGCAAGUUACUUGUUUCCUAUGUGAAGGAACUACACACUACCCUAGCCAGUGUCAUAUUUACCCCAAGGUACAAGAAAUUACCGAGCAGCAGAAAGAAGCCAUGAAAGAAACCCUCAGGUAAAACUCAGAAGAACCUGUGAUGAAGGAAGUUAUUGAAGACCCUAAUGGUGAAGGCCUAAACAGAUUUUUCGCCCAAGCUUGCUAUUCAUGUGGAGAAGAAGGACAUUUUUCAGAGUAUUGCACGAAGGAAAGCCAAGAGUAUCUCAGAGACUUCCCGACAACAGAAGUGAAGUUUGACCCUCAGGAAAUAGAAGCUCUGGUCAUUACAGAGAAAUCCAGGAAGAGAAAACGAAGGCAACCCCAGAACAACCCAACUUCUGCAAAGAAGGACCUGAGUCAUAUCACUUGUUAUAGGUGCAAGGAUUUAGGUCAUUAUGCUAGUAAAUGUCCAGAAAAGAAGCCAAGAAUCCAAGGAGCCUACAUAAUCACAAAGAAGCCCCGAGACAUGUCAGAAGUCAUUUGUUUUCGCUGCAAGGAAGCAGGACAUUUUGCUAGGGAAUGUUCAAAUCAGAAGAAAGCUGGAGCUGAGUAGUUGAAAUUUUGAUAUGGAUAAUAAGAGUGGUAGAAAGCAAUCUUAUUUUCAAAAGUUCGAUGAGUCGAGUUAUGUAAUGGGUGCUCAGAGAUUGUAAUGAAUUCAUGAAAUCAAUAAAGUUAAUGUGCUAUGAUUUCAUAUGUUGUAUUAUGUGAGUUUUUACUCUAUGAACAAAGAUUUUGGACCAGUUUCGAGGAUAUGAGAAAUAUAGUCUAUGGAUGGAUUUGUGAAUUUCAUUUAAGGGUGGUAGUACCCUAUGAAGAACACUUGACCCAUGGAAAGGAUAAUGAUAUUUCAGGGGGUGAAGUUUGGACAAAAUAGGUAUGAGUUUUGUUUCGAUAAGUUGGUUACCCCAAGAAUAUGAAGGAAUGAAGCAAUAUUGGAAUUUAAGGAGGUGUAAUGUUGGAAUAUGGAACCAUAUAACCCAAUAGGAUGAGUUAAAGCUAUGCAAGUAUUGAAGUGGGCCCACAACCCACAGGCCCAGGAAUUAAUAAAGAUCAAGUACUCCCUGCAAGAAGAAAUUUUGGAAGAAGAUGUGAUUUGAUGAGCAGAUGUUCCUUAGGAGGCUACGAAACCCCGAGAGUUGUGAAGUAACGGUAGAUGUUUCAUUCAGCAUGCAGAAUCAAUGGAAUUAUCCGAACUAAGUUCGUCGACAAGAGAAAUUCUGCAAUGCUUGUAAGAAUUCCCGAGUGUUAGAAAUGCGAGAUUUGCUAAACCUUAUACAGAGUAACGAUUUGGGUGCGGAAUGGAUUGAUCACCAUACUGACUUACUCUGGUCAUUCGCUCUUGCUAUUUGGAAUGGUAAAUCUAAGUGACUUACCCAUAGUAGAGAGACGACGAUAUCAAACCUUGUUUAAACCAUAGAAUGCUAGAACGAUGGACCCCUGUAUAGGCAACCGCUGCCAAUCAUAGGAUAUACGGUGAGAUUCAACCCAGACCCUUUUCUGCAGGAGAAACCAUUAAUUGUUGACCACCAUGAGAUUUCGCUAAUUAAUUAGAAUUGGUGACAGACCUGUCAGAUAUGAAGACACAGUCUCGGAAGAACCUCACCAGGAUGGAAGGACAUGUGUUUGAGGAAAAGUUUGAGACCCUAUCGGAAGAGCCUCAGUGAAGGAGUUAUUCUGGAGAAUAUGAGAAGACCGACACCGUCAACCCAAAGGAUGGAGUACAUGAGUUUUAGUCGGAAACCAUAACCCUGCUUUUAAGUGUGGUAGCACACUAGACCAUUCCGUCAAUGGAAUUGCUGGAAGACCCCAAAACCUUAACCUUUUCUUGCUAGCCUCUUCGAAUCUUGAGGACGAGAUUCAUUUUAAGUGUGGUAGGUUUGUAACAUCCCAAAAUUCUAAAUUUUGGAAUGUUAUAUUAAAUAAAUAUAAGUAUGAUUGUUUGUUUGAUUGUUGUGUGAAUGAUUGAGUGAAAUUUAGUGGAAUUUGAAUUUUUUUGAAAGUUGAAUGAGAGGGAAUAAAAGGACUUUCCCAAAAAUUUCACCCUUACUUUUGGUCUCUAAUGAAUUCAAAUUCAUUUCAUCACAAAACCCUAGAGUGAAGAAAAUAUGACUUCUUCCAUUUAAAAUGAAAAGGGUUUUUGAAAAUAUUUUAAUUUCAUUUGCAAACAAUUCAAACCAGAAACUUUAUGCAACCCAAUAAUUUUCAUGAGAGAAGAUAAAAUGACUUCUUCAAAUUAUAUGAAAUAGAGUUGGAAGUGGUUUGAAAUUCAAAUUCAAAACCAUUUAGGAGUUAUUUGGGUUUUAUUCAAAUCAUUUUUCUCCAUAAAUAAAUUAUUUGGAAAUUAGGGUAAAAUGAUUCCCUACAAUAUAAAAUUGGAGGAAAGUAAAUUUGAAAUCAUUCUGGUGUUUUAAAAAUGAUUUUAUUGGGUUUUAUUGCAACAGCAGCGCUCUUUGACUUUUGUGAUUUUGCUUGGAUUUUAUUUGGACUUGGGAAAUAGUCUAUGUUUUAGGAUUUAUUUUUCUGAAUUUUUUAUAUAUAUUAUAUGUCUAUAUAAUAAUUUAUAUUUAUUUGUGUCUUGUUUUAUUUUUUCUUGUCUGUAUUUUAUAUAAAAAAAUUGGCCGAAGGCCGCAGCCUAGCGGACCCUACCUCUCUCCCAACGGCCCAGCUGGCCCAGCAGCUCGCCCCCGUGCCCGAACCGCUACCACCCGGUCGCCCGACCCCUCCUCUCGCUCUCGCUCGCCUGUCUCUCUCACUGAUAGUGGGGCCCGCAUCUUCUUCUUCCUCAAGCCACGCCCGAAUCCUGCACGCGCAAGAGUUCGUUUCUGCCAAUCCAAAUCCUCGCGCGAUUAGCUCGAUUCUUUGCCCCUCGCGCAAGCCGGCCUCCCUAUAAAUAUUCCCCUCCUCCUCCUCGUCCGAUUUUCGCGAAAACCUUGAUCUCCCGUGCCCUACAGCUCCAACCCAAUCUCGCCGGAGUUCCUCCGCACCACCGCAACUUCGCCGCCUUGCCGCGCCUCCACCUGCCAUUCCGACCACCUUAUCCACCACCAUCGCAUCCGCCUUGCCGAUCCGCACCUCGCCGUGCUCUCGUAUGAGCCGGAGAACCACCAGAGCCCCUGCACCACCCGCAAUCCCUCGCUGGAGAAGUUUUCUGCCGCCACGCGCCAUUGCUCGCCGUCGUCACCUCCGACCUACCCGAGACCCGCCGACACCACCAUCGUGCUCCCCUCCCUCUACUACACCUUCCCAACCACUCGCCUAAGCUCCAGCACCGCCGAAGCGCCGUCACCAUCAACCACCGAACAUCACCGCCGCCCCGAGCUCACCGUCGCCCGUCUCCGUCGUCCCCGAGCGCACUGGCGACCAUCGUUGGAACCGCCUCCGACCUCUGCAUCCCCUUGUCUCCUCCGCCGACCCCGCCGACGACCGGAGCGCCGACGACGAUGACGUCCGAGCCGCCACCGCCGAUGACGACCUCGCCGGAGACGCCACCACCGCUGUAAGCAACCUCCACCAUCCGAUCUGUUAUUGACGGCACAGAUUAGAUCUAACGAACGAUUACGUUUUUUUAAUUAGAUCGGUUUAGUUCCGGUUUGUUAUGGUUUUUAGUCGCGGUUUUUCUUCGGUUUAGAUCGGUUCAGGUCUAGUCGUUUUAGCCGAUCGGUCUUUCUGUUUUAGCCCGUACACAUUUGUGUUAUUUUACGACCGAGUGCUAGAUAGUUCAGAUCGCCCACCACCCUGGCCCGAUAGCAGUAGGCCACGUAGCUAGUGCCCGACUGUUUUUUUUUCGUUUCUGUUUUAAAAACAGAAUAGUUUUGAUUUUAUAUUGGUUAUAACUUUUAUGUUUUAGAUCCAAAUUUGGUGUUUCUUUUUGCAUUAGUUUUGUAAUUUCUUGAAGUUUCUGCUAGUGCAAUUGGAUUUCAUAUUUGAGCUGUUAAAAAUUGAAUUUAAUGAAAUUUGUUCAAAUUAGUAAUUUGGCCAUAACUUGAGCUUUAUAAAAUAUUUUUGAUUGAUUCUUUUUGCUCCUGGUCACUAGGACCUUUAACUAUCCAGUACUGUUGAGUAUUUUAUUUUUAGUUUAUUUUAAAAUCAGGUUUUUAUCAAAACAGUACGGUUUUAGUUAUAGUUUUGUUUUAGUCUUUUCUUUAUAGUUUUAAUUGUUUUUUUUUCUUUUUGUCACUUUUGACAAACUCUUAGUUUUAUUCUGUUGGUCAACAAAAUAAAAUUUUAUAUUAUUUUAAAAUUUUAUUUUAUUUAGUUUUCGUAUGAAAACUUGUUUAGGUCAUAGUUAGUGUUUCAUAAAAGCUUUUUAUUUGUUUCCUUUUACAAAUAAAAUUUUAUGAAAAAUACUUUCUGUUAACUUAGUUGUUUUAUUUUUUAUUUUCUAUUAACUUAUUAGUUUAGUGUUUUAUUUGUUGUUAAGUUUUACUUAGGACAACUAUUUUGUGUUAUGUCUUAGAGUUUUCUUUAAUAGUUUCGUGGUGUAGUUUUCCUUUGUUUUUAUUUGGUGUCCCUUGUUGAUUUGCAUUUUAUUUGUUGGUUUUAUUAUGAGUGUUAGAAUUGCUUGCUAGUAUGUUUGCUUAUAUGAAUGCUAUGUUUGACUAUAUAGAUUUUCAACGGAGUGACGAAUAGUUCUACCAAGUCAUUAUUCUAAGAGCGUUAUUAUCUUCAUCAUGUAUUACCAGGCAAGUUCACUUUGACCAUGUUUUUCAUACCUAUGUUUUAUUUGCAUGUAGUAGCACCCUUUCAACAAUCCCUCCAGUAGUGUUAUUGAAUCUUGUAGUUGAGUUGAGGUAGGAACCCAUCUCCCUGAUUACCAAGCCCGGGACAUUAUAUAGUUUUAAUGCUACGCUAUAGUAGAUAGGGUUUGGUAUGAGUGCACGAGAGUGGUGUGAAGAAGGAGGACUUUACGUCAAUGGCGACAACUUCAUGAUGGCAUCGGCAAGGACUGCAUCUUUAGGACUCCAAG